UAAGUAAAUAGUGAAAUCUUGUGGCUCAACCAUAAGGCUAUUAUUUAAACUGGCAGACUCGAGAAUGAGAGAGGUCACUGGAAUUCCCUGUGUAGGAGUGAAAUCCGUAGAUAUAGGGAGGAACACCAAUGGCGUAGGCAGGUGACUGGCUCAUUUCUGACACUGAGGCACGAAAGCGUGGGGAGCGAACGGGAUUAGAUACCCCGGUAGUCCACGCCGUAAACGAUGGAUGCUA
rnacentral:rRNA from 1 species